rnacentral:lncRNA from 1 species
CUACGAAUGAGACAGUUAGAUAAAUGAUGGUAUGGUCUGUAACUUUGGUCCAAAUUCUGCCAUCCAAUAUGCACUCACGUCUCCCAUUGACAUUGGCUCAGGAGUUGUCAAGAGCUGGGAAGGCAUGGCUGCUCCAAGCACCCCAUGAAAAUGCAAGAUGGAGGAAGAAGGCUAAUUAGUUUCCAUGAGGAUCCUGAACCAGGAGAACCCCAGUGACCCAGCAAUUUGGUGAGGGUAAGAAUUUACAGUGGCUUUGCUGAAGAAAAGGACUGAGCUCUGCCUUCCUCAUGAGGAUAAUAUCCAAGAUCACAAGCAAAAUGUUUAAAUGGAG